rnacentral:rRNA from 1 species
AUGUGGUCGCUCAAAUCGACCGUCAAGACAGCGAGUGGAGCCAAGUCCAUGGUCAAGUACGAGGGCGGCUACACCGUGGAGACGGUCUUCGACGGCAGCAAGCUGGGGAUCGAGUCGUACGCCGUCGAGGUCACCCAGGGUGGCGAGCUGCUCGUCAUGGAUUCCAUGAACAGCAACAUCUACCGGAUCGCGCUGUCACUGGUUGGUGUUGAACUGCUGAUGCUGUGGGAGGAGCUGGAGUACACAGAGCAGAAUAGCCUCUUCUUCCUAGAGACAGACCUAUGUGCUGCUGGUGCUCGCUACCCGCGUGAACAUAGAAAUGAAGGUAAAACUGCAGGGAAGAACCGGUCCUCGCCCGUGCCAUUGGUGUGGUUAUCUCCCCUGAAUGAGCAGUAG